rnacentral:lncRNA from 1 species
AUGAAAAGGGCAGGCGCUUUUGCCACUGAGCUAAAUCCCCAGCCCCAACUGAUGCUUAUCUGGACAGAUCGCUUUGUACUGGCUCCAGUAUCUCCCCAAGAAUUCCUAAGCGAGCCUAGAAAAAUUUCCAGGAAUAACACACACACACACACCAUGAGGUCUUUGCAAGAGCAAGAGAAAGACAAGCAAAUCAAAUCACCCACUGUGACCUGA